AUAAAACAGCAGCAAAGAGAGGAAGGUCACGACUUUCUGGUUUGUGCCAUACAUUGUCGUUUGCCUCAUGUACCUAAUGGUGCAGCGGGGAAAUGACUUGUCUAGCAAGCAAGAGGUUGCUGGUUCGAAUCCCCGCUGAUGAUAUGAGAUCAUGAAAGAUCUCAAAGCAGUUUACAAUCUGAAACCAAGAACUUACAAAAACUCUCCAAGCAUAAUGAGGAACAAAAUUAAAACCCCAUUUCAGCAAAUGAAACCACAGGAGAUCCAAAACACAGCAGUACAGUGGGAACAAGUUGUCAUGCACCAAAGAACUGGAAGACAGCUCCCGGCUCCAAGCGGCUCACAAUCUAAAACUAACAGAAGGAAAACAACAGAAGAAGGGGAAGGAGGAACAAAAUGGGGAGGAAUAUGUGAUCAGAUCAUGUACAUAGACAUAGUUACAACAUUUAGUGAACUUGAUGUAAGAAUAAUGACAGUUACUGUUUUUCAGUGAUUAAUAAAGAGUCACUUCGUGAUAUUCGUCCUCGUAUAACAGAAGUACAUUCACAUCAGUGAUAACUCCAGGGUGUCUUAGUGUUUAUGUGCAUGCCUUUCUAUGCAUGUGCACCAGUCUACAGCCAAAAUGCAUUUGAAAACAUAGCAGACUUAAAUGAGUUAUGCUACAUAAUCUUCUGCUGCCCCAUGCAGUUUUCUGCUGGGGUGGUGCUCAGCCCAAAUACCCUCGCAUGGUGCUAGCACACACAUGCUAUCCACGCAUGCAUGGGCAUCAUUUGUGUGAUCAUCAUCAGCGGAGAGUGGACCUGCUCUCCUCUUUCUUAAAGCUCCCCUGCACUGCUCACAAAAAGUGCUCAAACUAUGCUUUGAACCAUUGUUCGGGCACAUCCCUACCUGCAACAGAAUAUUCACCAUGCUAAUUAUCAAGCCUUUAUAUUCACUCAGGCCCUUUUACAUUUUGAUUUCUAAAUUUGAUUUUUUAAAUUGAAGUUUAAAAAGUUUUAAAAUUGUUUUGUAUUAUAUUUUGUAUUUUAUUUCUUGUUUGAUGUGUUGUGAUUUCAUGUAUGUAUUUUUAUUUGAAGUUUUAAGGCUGUGUUAUGAGCCACCCAGAGAACAAUUUGUUAUGGGGCUUGCUAACAAACAAACAAUAUUAAGUGGCAAAGCUGCCUGACCCAGACAGCUAGAGAUGGAAGGUAGCUGAGGUAGCUGCUAUUCAGUGGAUAACUGGGAAACCAGCAGCUGAUUAAGUUAUUGAACUGUUGUGCUGCAAGUGCAAAAACAAUUUUGUACUGUGCUCAUGUGUAUUUGUAUGAAGUAUGGUUUGACAACAUCUUGUGGCAACAUCCCAUGUAGGGCAAUGUGACAGCCAAGGUGAUGAAGAUGACUUGAAAAAGGCAGAUUGUGACAAUGACUUUUAUAGUUAGCUAAAAGAACUGUACUUGAAAACUUUGUUGUUUCCUACAAAUGUCUACAUAAAUAUUAUUAUUUUGGGGUGUUUUCUGUAGAUUAACUCUUCAAAAUACGAAUAAAAUAAUUAGUGAUG